rnacentral:lncRNA from 10 species
UUCCACCUCCCACACCUUCCCAACCCUGGCUGUGCUGGCCCUGACUGAGAGGAGGGGGUUUCCACUUCCGUCACCUGGCAAGGGAACCUCCACAGCCCAAGAAUAUUAACAUUUAUCAGGUGCCGGGCAUGGGCCUCAUGUGUUUUAUGUAAUUCAAUCCUCCCAACAAAAGUAUGAGGAAGACCACACUCAGGCCAAGCACUGUGGUUCCCGCCUGAAAUCCCAGCGCUUUGGGAGGUGGAGGCAAGAGGAUUGCUUGAGCUCAGAAGUUCAAGACCACCCUGGGCAACACAGGCCAGCCCUGCAGCACAGCCUUCAACAUGAGCAACUCCUGCUCUCUGUAGCUCCAGCCCCAGCCUGGACCUAUCUUUCAGAGCCAUAAUGCUGAGACAGUCCCUGAGUCUUGGAUGAACACGGGACUCACAGUGUCUACACCGGACAGUUUCUGUUUGCACGACGUUGAGUAAACUUCACAUCCAUCGGGGAAGUUACCCUUUGGGAUUACUGAUGAAGGUGAGGAGAAGAUGCUGUUCUGAGAGCUGCUGAUAAUACGUGGAUCCAAACCCACAGGCUUGAGCUGCUUAAUUGAAAUUCACGUCAAAAUGAAAUUCUGGUUUAGCUCAACUUGACUACUAUGGAUGAUGAAAAUAAAUCCCUGGGUCACACAAGGAUAGUGAUUGAGUAGAGCUUGUUUGCUGGCACAGGAAUGACAUUUCAACUGGAAUUAAAUUGUCGUCAGUUAACAGAACGAGGUGCAAGCUCCGGGAAGAGACCUUGAGAAGAAUGGAAAGAAAAACACCAGGAAAAACACAAAUGCUGUGUGAUGAGUCACUGUGUUGACUGAGAUCUCAUGAC